UACGGAGGGUGCAAGCGUUAUCCGGAUUUACUGGGCUUAAAGGGUGUGUAGGCGGACUUUUAAGUCAGGGGUGAAAUCCCGAGGCUCAACCUCGGAACUGCCUUUGAUACUAUUGGUCUUGAAUGUUGUUGAGGUGGGCGGAACGGGUCAUGUAGCGGUGAAAUGCAUAGAUAUGACCCGGAACACCGAUUGCGAAGGCAGCCCGCUAAGCAACUAUUGACGCUGAGGCACGAAAGCGUGGGGAUCAAACAGG
rnacentral:rRNA from 1 species